rnacentral:rRNA from 1 species
GAGUUUGAUUAUGGCUCAGGAUGAACGCUGGCGGCGUGCUUAACACAUGCAAGUCGAACGGGCGAAUUAUAUCGGAGGUCUUCGGGCCAAAGAGAUAAUAAGCUAGUGGCGGACGGGUGCGUAACGUGUGGGUAAUCUGCCUUUGUCAUAGGAAUAACUGCUUGAAAAAGUAGCUAAUACCAAAUAACAUAUCGUAUAGGCAUCUAUAAGAUAUCAAAGAGAAAUCGGACAAAGAUGAGCCCGCAUCUGAUUAGCUGGUUGGUAGGGUAAAAGCCUACCAAGGCGACGAUCAGUAGCCGGCCUGAGAGGGUGAACGGCCACAUUGGAACUGAGACACGGUCCAAACUCCUACGGGAGGCAGCAGUGGGGAAUAUUGCACAAUGGGGGGAACCCUGAUGCAGCAACGCCGCGUGAGUGAAGAAGGCUUUCGAGUCGUAAAACUCUGUUGUAAGGGAAGAU